CAGUCGCCGCGGUAAAACAGAGGGUGCAAGCGUUAAUCGGAAUUACUGGGCGUAAAGCGCGCGUAGGUGGUUUGUUAAGUUGGAUGUGAAAUCCCCGGGCUCAACCUGGGAACUGCAUCCAAAACUGGCAAGCUAGAGUAUGGUAGAGGGUGGUGGAAUUUCCUGUGUAGCGGUGAAAUGCGUAGAUAUAGGAAGGAACACCAGUGGCGAAGGCGACCACCUGGACUGAUACUGACACUGAGGUGCGAAAGCGUGGGGAGCAAACAGGAUUAGAUACCCGGGUAGUCCCUGUCUCUUAUAC
rnacentral:rRNA from 1 species